UACGUAGGGGGCGAGCGUUGUCCGGAUUUAUUGGGCGUAAAGAGCUCGUAGGCGGCUUAGCAAGUCGGGUGUGAAAACUCCAGGCUCAACCUGGAGACGCCACUCGAGACUGCUAUGGCUAGAGUCCGGUAGGGGACCACGGAAUUCCUGGUGUAGCGGUGAAAUGCGCAGAUAUCAGGAGGAACACCGGUGGCGAAGGCGGCCCACUGGUCCGGUACUGACGCUGAGGUGCGAAAGCGUGGGGAGCAAACAGG
rnacentral:rRNA from 1 species